rnacentral:rRNA from 1 species
AGACGUAGGAUCCGAGCGUUGUCCGGAAUUACUGGGCGUAAAGCGCGCGCAGGCGGAUACACGCAUCGGCGGUGAAAGCCCCCCGCUCAACGGGGGAGGGUCCGUCGAGAUGGUGUAUCUGGAGGCAGGGAGAGGUCAGUGGAAUUCCGGGUGUAGUGGUGAAAUGCGUAGAGAUCCGGAGGAACACCAGUGGCGAAGGCGGCUGACUGGACCUGACCUGACGCUGAGGCGCGAAGGCGUGGGGAGCGAACGGGAUUAGAUACCCCGGUAGUCCACGCAGUAAACGAUGGGUACUAGGUGUGGCGGGAGUUGACCCCUGCCGUGCCGGCGCUAACGCAGUAAGUACCCCGCCUGGGGAGUACGGCCGCAAGGCUAAA